AUGUUUUUCCUAUUCCCCUGCAAAAUGAAACACACACACACGCUCAGUUUAUCCCUUUUUCCCAUGACCUCACCGUUAACCCUCCUCGCCAGAUCGCGUAGGUUUCAUUAUCCUCGCCGGAUUUUUCUUCCACACCGCCGUUAUCACCGGAUCUGGUACUUCUUUUAAAAUACGCCAGAAUCCUCUUCAUCACCACCAUCAUCGUCUGAAAGUUUGGGUUAUCACGUCGGUGGGUUCAGCCCCCGAUGCAUCAUCACCGCCCCAUGGAUACCAUUCUAAAACCCACCAAGGCGGCUGCUAUCUGGUGGGUUUUUAGGGUUCAUCAUCACCCCAAUACAUCAUCAAUACCACAUGGGCCGCCGAUUUGCUAUGAUAAUAAAGGAAAGAUACAAAAUUUAUUCAUUCUCCUUUAUGUGUAGGACUACAAGUGUAAAAAAGAUGAAGACAAAGGACUAUUUCUGGAUACUCAAGUUGAGAAAGGAAUGUAAAGAAGAAGAAAAUAAGGGGCUGAUUCUGUAACUUGAAGAUAUAUAUAAACCUGCUUAUAUCAGAUUUAGGGUUAAUCGGGAAUCAUAUAUUUUCUGCAUCUAUUAUUGAUCGAUAUUAUUCUCUCUCAAAUAUUCAUAUUCUGUAUCUAUAUAUAUCACAUCGAUAUAUAUAAUUUCUCUGUAUUAUAAUCAUCAUAUUGAUGAUUAUUUUUCGAUCUGGUUGUAAUAACAAUAAUUUCUAUUACUUAAUCAUAAUAAUAUCUGCAUCUGUUCUUGAUUAAA